rnacentral:tRNA from 2 species
GGGGUGUUAGCUCAGCUGGUUUAGAGCACUACCUUGACAGGGUAGGGGUCACUGGUUCGAAUCCAGUACAUCCCA